rnacentral:piRNA from 1 species
UGAAAAUCCCUAUGAGACGCGCUCCGACA